AAAACUGCAUGGGCCAUUUCCUGGGUGGGACAGUCAUUGAGAGAGGUUGGGCUUUUUGUUUUCUAAAUGAGAUUUAGGACCAUCACUUCCCUGAAAAUGGUGGAGACUGAGGAAGGCGACAAACUUCGAGUGCAAAGCUGCAGAAUCUAAUAAUUCUGAAAUAUUAGAUAGCAGCAGAGCAAGGAGCCAGAGGAAAGUCUAAUGGCAGGGGAACACAAAGAUCAGUACACGAUUGUUCUUCAUUAGCUUGUAUUAAUAACAUCUGACAUUUUAUUUGUUUACUGUUGAACAAGCUUAUUUAAUAGUUUUAGAUCAAGUGACAAGAGACUUACCAUAAUAGAUGGUAAAGACAGGAUACUUUUUUUUUUGUUGGAGUCGUUUAGUCUUUUUUGAAAUGGUAAGAUUAAAUGUCUUACUUGUUAUAUUUUGAGUACGAAUUUAGAUAGAUUUCACAGUGUGCUGGAAGCCAAACUAGCCAUCUCUCUUUCUAAUGGGACAACUUUUAAAUACCAGACACUAGGUGUUCUUUACAGUUAUCUCUUCAGUACAGUAGUCAGCUCACCUUGCAGCCUUUCUCCUCCAAAUUUUUUUUUCAAUAAUCACAGAACAAGGGAAAGUAUUCUAGUUCCAAUCUGUUUGUACAAGAAAGAUGGUUCAUUAUAUACAGGGAUGUUUUACACCAUUGGAACUGAAAUCCUUCCUCAGCUCUAAUUAAGAAAGCUGUUUAGGGGAUUCUAACUGAAUUUGUUUGUAUGUUUAUUCUGCAUUAAAAUGUUUUACUAUAAUAUAGAUUCCUAGAAAUAUAAGGCAAUUCUAUAUAAGAUUCUAAAGUAAUUAUUUCUGAAAUAUGACAUUGCUUAUUAAUAUACCCAAACUGACAAAACUCUAUCUUUUAUUUUUUUAUUUUUUUUUUUUUUUUAAAGAUUUAUUUAUUUAUUUAUUAUAUGUAAGUACACUGUAGCUGUCCUCAGACACUCCAGAAGAGGGAGUCAGAUCUCAUUACAGAUGGUUGUGAGCCACCAUGUGGUUGCUGGGAUUUGAACUCCUAACCUUCGGAAGAGCAGUCGGGUGCUCUUACCCACUGAGCCAUCUCACCAGCCCCUUUUAUUUUAUUUUUUAUUUUACUUUAUUUU
rnacentral:lncRNA from 1 species